UACGGAAGGCAGCAGUGGGGAAUAUUGCACAAUGGGCGAAAGCCUGAUGCAGCUAUGCCGCGUGUAUGAAGAAGGCCUUAGGGUUGUAAAGUACUUUCAUCGGGGAGGAAAAACAAAACUAAUAAUUUUAUUUCUUGACGUUACCCGAAAAAGAAGCACCGGCUAACUCCGUGCCAGCAGCCGCGGUAAUACGGAGGGUGCUAGCGUUAAUCAGAAUUACUGGGCGUAAAGAGCACGUAGGUGGUUUUUUUAAGUCAGAUGUGAAAUCCCUGGGCUUAACCUAGGAACUGCAUUUUGAAACUGAAAUACUAGAGUAUCGUAGAGGGAGGUAGAAUUCUAGGUGUAGCGGUGAAAUGCGUAGAUAUCUGGAGGAAUACCUGUGGCGAAAGCGGCCUCCUAAACGAAUACUGACACUGAGGUGCGAAAGCGUGGGGAGCAAACAGGGGAUUAGGAUACC
rnacentral:rRNA from 1 species